AAGUCAUAACAAGGUCUCUGUUGGUAAACUAGCGGAGGGAUUAUUAUAGAGUUGCAAAACUCCUAUCACCAUUGCGAACUUACCUUACACCCGUUGCUUUAGCAGGCAGCUCUAGGCUUCUGUUUUCACAGAUCCUUAGGGCCCUAUAGCCUGAUUGUCAGGUGCCUGCUAGAGGUCAUGCAACUAGAUAUCGUUUAUAGCCUGUCAGAAUUUAUACUACCAAUUAGUCAAAACUUUUAACAACGGAUCUCUUAGUUCUA
rnacentral:misc_RNA from 1 species